UUAAAAAAAAUAAAACCCCCCCCCCACGGGACCAAGCGGAAUCAAAAUGAUAAAUGCCCAAUUUCAAUAUAGAAAUGAAGUUCAUCGGAUUUCAUAUUUCAUUCAAAUUUUGGCAGUACAUCCUUUAUUACAUGUCAACCUUGGGACAUACAGUCGUAAAGUUGCCCCAUUCAUUUUUUCGAGGUCAAGGAAACGCCGGCAUCAAGUCAUCAUAAAAUAUGGCCUUGUUUGGAAAAAGAAUGAAAAUACUGAUAGUCGAGCUGCCUAUAUGUAACAUCAAAUUUCCACCCUAAGAAUACAUGAGUAAUAAUUGUCGCUCUCAGUGAAUGACUAAUAACAAUACAUAGGUUUCACUAUCAUAGCUAUGGAAUAGUAGCAAUGUAUUUAAUUCAAUAGUAUCAGACAAUUCGUCGACCCAGAAAUGCGGAAUAAAUUACCUCAAAAAA